UACGUAGGGUGCAAGCGUUAUCCGGAAUUAUUGGGCGUAAAGAGCUCGUAGGCGGUUUGUCGCGUCUGCUGUGAAAACUGGGGGCUCAACCCCCAGCCUGCAGUUGAUACGGGCAGGCUAGAGUUCGGUAGGGGAGACUGGAAUUCCACGUGUAGCAGUGAAAUGCGCAGAUAUCAGGAGGAACACCGGUGGCGAAGGCGGGUCUCUGGGCAACAACUGACGCUGAGGAGCGAAAGCGUGGGGAGCGAACAGG
rnacentral:rRNA from 1 species